GAUGAACGCUGGCGGCGUGCCUAAUACAUGCAAGUCGAGCGAACAGACGAGGAGCUUGCUCCUUUGACGUUAGCGGCGGACGGGUGAGUAACACGUGGGUAACCUACCUAUAAGACUGGGAUAACUUCGGGAAACCGGAGCUAAUACCGGAUAGUAUUUCGAACCGCAUGGUUCGAUAGUGAAAGAUGGCUUUGCUAUCACUUAUAGAUGGACCUGCGCCGUAUUAGCUAGUUGGUAAGGUAACGGCUUACCAAGGCAACGAUACGUAGCCGACCUGAGAGGGUGAUCGGCCACACUGGAACUGAGACACGGUCCAGACUCCUACGGGAGGCAGCAGUAGGGAAUCUUCCGCAAUGGGCGAAAGCCUGACGGAGCAACGCCGCGUGAGUGAUGAAGGUCUUCGGAUCGUAAAACUCUGUUAUUAGGGAAGAACAAACGUGUAAGUAACUGUGCACGUCUUGACGGUACCUAAUCAGAAAGCCACGGCUAACUACGUGCCAGCAGCCGCGGUAAUACGUAGGUGGCAAGCGUUAUCCGGAAUUAUUGGGCGUAAAGCGCGCGUAGGCGGUUUUUUAAGUCUGAUGUGAAAGCCCACGGCUCAACCGUGGAGGGUCAUUGGAAACUGGAAAACUUGAGUGCAGAAGAGGAAAGUGGAAUUCCAUGUGUAGCGGUGAAAUGCGCAGAGAUAUGGAGGAACACCAGUGGCGAAGGCGACUUUCUGGUCUGUAAACUGACCGCUGAUGUGCGAAAGCGUGGGGAUCAAACAGGAUUAGAUACCCUUGGUAGUCCACGCCGUAAACGGAAGAGUGCUUAGUGUUUAGGGGGUUUCCGCCCCUUAGUGCUGCAGCUAACGCAUUAAGCACUCCGCCUGGGGAGUACGACCGCAAGUUUGAACUCAAAGGAAUUGACGGGGACCCGCACAAGCGGUGGAGCAUGUGGUUUAAUUCGAAGCAACGCGAAGAACCUUACCAAAUCUUGACAUCCUUUGACCCUUCUAGAGAUAGAAGUUUCCCCUUCGGGGGACAAAGUGACAGGUGGUGCAUGGUUGUCGUCAGCUCGUGUCGUGAGAUGUUGGGUUAAGUCCCGCAACGAGCGCAACCCUUAAGCUUAGUUGCCAUCAUUAAGUUGGGCACUCUAAGUUGACUGCCGGUGACAAACCGGAGGAAGGUGGGGAUGACGUCAAAUCAUCAUGCCCCUUAUGAUUUGGGCUACACACGUGCUACAAUGGACAAUACAAAGGGCAGCGAAACCGCGAGGUCAAGCAAAUCCCAUAAAGUUGUUCUCAGUUCGGAUUGUAGUCUGCAACUCGACUACAUGAAGCUGGAAUCGCUAGUAAUCGUAGAUCAGCAUGCUACGGUGAAUACGUUCCCGGGUCU
rnacentral:rRNA from 1 species